rnacentral:rRNA from 1 species
UACGUAGGGGGCGAGCGUUGUCCGGAAUUAUUGGGCGUAAAGAGCGUGUAGGCGGUUCGGUAAGUCUGCCGUGAAAACCUGGGGCUCAACCCCGGGCGUGCGGUGGAUACUGCCGGGCUAGAGGGUGGUAGAGGCGAGUGGAAUUCCCGGUGUAGCGGUGAAAUGCGCAGAUAUCGGGAGGAACACCAGUAGCGAAGGCGGCCCGCUGGGCCAUUCCUGACGCUGAGACGCGAAAGCUAGGGGAGCGAACAGG